CAUGAAUAAGCAUCGGCUAACUCCGUGCCAGCAGCCGGGGUAAUACGGAGGAUGCAGGCGUAAUCCGGAUUAAUUAGGUUUAAAGGGUGUCUAGGCUGCCACAUAAGUCAGGGGUGAAAGUCGGUUGCUCAACAAUCGAAUUGCCUUUGAAACUGUGUGGCUCGAGUAUAGAUGAGGUAGGCGGAAUGUGUAGUGAAACGGUGAAAUGCAUAGAUAUUACACAGAAACCGCAAUUGCGAAGGCUAUAUUACAAACUAUUACUGACGCUGAAGCACGAUAGCGUUGGGUUAGCGAACAGGAUUAGAUACCCUGGUAGUCCACGCCGUAAACUAUGCUCACUCGCUGUUGGCAAUAGAUCGUCAGCGGCUAAGGGAAACCGAUAAGUGAGCCACCUGGGGAGUACGAUCGCAAGAUUGAAACUCAAAGGAAUUGACGGGGGCCCGCACAAGCGGAGGAACAUGUGGUUUAAUUCGAUGAUACGCGAGGAACCUUACCUGGGCUUAAAUGUAGAGUGCAUAAAGUGGAAACAUUUUUUUCCUUCGGGUCUCUUUACAAGGUGCUGCAUGGUUGUCGUCAGCUCGUGCCGUGAGGUGUCGGGUUAAGUCCCAUAACGAGCGCAACCCCUAUCGUUAGUUACCAGCACGUAUUGGUGGGGACUCUAGCGAAACUGCCGGUGUAAACCGUGAGGAAGGUGGGGAUGACGUCAAAUCAGCACGGCCCUUAUGUCCAGGGCUACACACGUGUUACAAUGGUCGGUACAGUGGGCAGCCACAUAGCAAUAUGGAGCUAAUCUCAAAAGCCGAUCUCAGUUCGGAUUGGAGUCUGCAACCCGACUCCAUGAAGGUGGAUUCGCUAGUAAUCGCGCAUCAGCCAUGGCGCGGUGAAUACGUUCCCGGGCAUGUACACACCGCCCGUCAAGCCAUGGAAGUUUGGGGUGCCUGAAGUUCGUAACC
rnacentral:rRNA from 1 species